rnacentral:rRNA from 1 species
GAUGAACGCUAGCGGCAGGUCUAAUACAUGCAAGUCGAACGAGAUUACGAGGCUUGCUUCUUAUGAAAGUGGCGCACGGGUGCGUAACGCGUAUGCAACCUACCUUAAUCAGGGGGAUAGCCCGAAGAAAUUCGGAUUAAGACCGCAUAAAAACACAGGAUAGCAUUAUCCAAUGUUCAAAUAUUUAUAGGAUUAAGAUGGGCAUGCGUGUCAUUAGCUAGUUGGCGGGGUAACGGCCCACCAAGGCGACGAUGACUAGGGGAUCUGAGAGGAUGACCCCCCACACUGGUACUGAGACACGGACCAGACUCCUACGGGAGGCAGCAGUAAGGAAUAUUGGUCAAUGGAGGGAACUCUGAACCAGCCAUGCCGCGUGCAGGAAGACAGCCCUCUGGGUCGUAAACUGCUUUUAUUCGGGAAUAAACCUUUCUACGUGUAGGAAGCUGAAUGUACCGAAGGAAUAAGGAUCGGCUAACUCCGUG